GACGAACGCUGGCGGCGUGCUUAACACAUGCAAGUCGAACGCUGAACCCGCUUCUGUGGGGGAUGAGUGGCGAACGGGUGAGUAACACGUGCGCAACCUGCCCCCGGCUCUCGGAUAACUCCAAUCAAUUGGGGCUAAUACCUGCUGUGACCGCUUUCCGCAUGUUCUGUUUGUGUAACGGGUUUCCGGCUGGGGAUGGUCCCGCGGCCUAUCAGCUUGUUGGUGGGGUAGUGGCCUACCAAGGCGACGACGGGUAGCCGGCCUGAGAGGGUGACCGGCCACACUGGGACUGAGACACGGCACAGACUCCUACGGGAGGCAGCAGUGGGGAAUAGUGCGCAAGGGGCGGAAGCCUGACGCAGCGACGCAGCGUGGGGGAUGACGGCCUUCGGGUUGUAAACCGCUUUCAGCAGGGACGAAGCGCAAGUGACGGUACCGGGAGAAGAAGCACCGGCCAACUACGUG
rnacentral:rRNA from 1 species